UGUGUACUCCCUCCGUUCCAAAAUACUUGACUUCCAUUUAUCCAAAAAUGGAUGUACCUAUAUACUAAAACAUGUCUAGAUACAUAUAUAUUUUUACAAAUAGAAGGCAUGUAUUGUGCAAUGGAGGGAGUAGAAU
rnacentral:pre_miRNA from 1 species